UUUUUUUUUCUUUUUUGUCUUUUUAGGGCCGAACCCACAGCCUAUGGAGAUUCCCAGGCUAGGGGUUGAAUUGGAGCUGGAGCUGCCGGCCCACACCACAGCCACAGCAACCUGGGAUCCAAGCUGCGUCUUCGAUCUACCCCACAGCUCAUGGCAUGCCAGAUCCUUAACCCACUGCGUGAGGCCAGGGAUCAAACCCACAUCCUCAUGGAUCCUAGUUGGGUUCCUUAACCCCGGAGCCACGACAGGAACUCCCUCCAGAAUAUUUCUGAAAUUCAUCUUUUCAGCAUGGCCCCGGAUCCUGUUAUUUUAGUUGGGGCUCCUGGAAGUACUUGAACGUGCCCCUCACUGAGCUGACAUCCCCUGCCCCCAGGAUCCUCAACAAGCACCAACACAGUCUCUCUGCAACACAGAUCUGUGUCACGCUCCGAUGAAAUGCCUUCAACAGCUCCUGUCACCUGUGAUGAAGCUCUCGCCCCUUAAUAUACCAUCCCAGGCUGCCCACAGCCCAGCCCCCUCCCUCCCCACCCGGCCUCUUGCUUUGCCAGUCCACGUGGAACCCACAAGGCCUGCAACAUCAACGUGCUUGUUGCCGGGGCGCACACCACACCAUUGCUCAGUUCCAAACCUUCGCCCAUGCUGUUCCGUCUGCCUGGAAUACCUCUCUGCCAUCUUUCCCGAUGCAUUUCAUUCCUUUCCAAGCGCCUAAUCCCUGGUAAUUUUAAAUGUUUCGGAAACCACUGCUCGUAAUAGUUUCUCCGUUUAAUUCCAUGCAUUCAAGAUCUUUUUUCUAGUUCUAAGAUCCAGAUGAAUCUAGAUAUUUGAUGCCGAUCAAUAAGCCUUUCUGAUCCCACUUCUCUCUACUGAAGUGGUCUUGAUUUGCAUUUGCUGAUGAGAGCAAUUUGUCUGCCAUGUCCAUGUGAGGAAUGUCAUUUGAAAAGGCACAGUUCUUCCUCCAAAGAGAAUAACCCACUUAAAAUACCUUCAAACCCAUUGCUUUUCAUCCUCCUUACAUCUUCUCUCCGGGAACUGAGUUCAGAAUCCGGGCUUUCACUGGCCAGAGAAAGAUGCAUUCCUUUCAGUGCAGGCUAGUAGCACACUUCAGAGCCCUUCACCACACAACCUAGAGUAAGGUCUUUAAUUUGUGGUGGCCCCACAAGUGAGCCCUGAGUGAAUCUGAGGCCAAGGACCAAGUAAGUUUGUUUUGUUGGCAGUUUUCCAUAUUGCCACAUAGCCUAUUCCCUGAUCCAGUUGAAGGUAUUUGAGACAUCAUCCGAAAUGCUUUGUUGAAAGAUGUGACAGGGAGUUCCCAUUGUGGCACAACGGAAACAAAUCCGACUAGUGUCCCUGAGGAUGUGGGUUUGAUCCUUGGCCUCACUCAGUGGGUCUGGGAUCCGGUGUUGCCGUGAGCUGGGGUAUAGGUGGCAGACGAGGCUCAGAUCUGGCAUGGCUGUGGCUAUGACAUAGGCCAACAGCUGUAGCUCUGAUUUGACUCCUAGCCCGGGAACUUCUAAGUGCCACACUGUGACCCUAAAAAGCAAAAAAAAAAAAAAAAAAAAAAAGCUGUAACAGCUGUGUUUUCACAAAAAGUUCAGAAUAACGAAAUAAGUACCUGCAGUGGCCCUCUUCAAAGAACUCCAGAAGCUUUGCAUGUCUUGGCAUAUUUACCCUCCUCACAUCCCUCUGAAGUGAGAAAAGGGUUGUUUUAUGCUUUCUCUUGAUCCAGGGAAUGUAAGCUAUGGCAAAGGUGAUGUUUGAGGUAGGUCAGUAGAGAAUGAAAUUGCCUUUAUCUUCUUCCCUUUAGAUUUUGAUCUCUUAUUUCCUGAUUGGUAACAAUUGAACAAUUCGGUCCUUCUAUUCAUUAAAUUUGCUUAUUCAUUCAUUCACUAUCAAAUAUUUACGAAGCACCUGCUGUACAUCAGGCACCAGGUCAAACAUGUCUACAAAGCAGUUUAAGCCUUCACUGUUGUUCAGAAAUUACUUUGGGGCUUGUAGAACUCAAGCCACCUCCAAAAGUGGUUUACUGACCCACAGUCAACCACUGAUGUGGAAUCAUUUAAUCAUUCAUUCAAGUUUAUUUUUGGCAUGCAUCCUGUUCUCUUAAGCUAGGCUGCCUAACGUCCCUCCUAGAUCUAAAUUUCUGUACCUAUAGGUCUUUUUUUUUUUUUAAGCUUUUCAUUUUUUUAAAUUUUAUUUCCCCAAUAAUUUUUUUCCUACUGUGCAGCGUGGUAACCCAGUUACAUAUACACAUAUACAUUCUUUUUUCUCACAUUAUCAUGCUCCAUCAUAAGUGACUAGACAUAAUUCCCAGUGUGUAACUACAGUUUUUUAAAAUUCUUUCUCAUGUCGCAUAUAUUCUACCUUUUGCUAAAUUAAGUUCUUCUUGACAUCUGGACUUUAUGGCUAUUGGGAGAAAAGAACUUGUAGAAUUUCUUUUUUGUCAUUUCAUCCAUAAUAAUAUUUAGAUUAGUAUUCUAUUUGAGGCUAUUAUCUUACUCAGAAGGCAAAUUUUUAAAAUGACAAGGAGCAUACAAAGUUAGAGGGUUUUGUAGAUUUAGAAGGUAGAAUGGCUCGACUUGUAUUCAUUUAGAAGCAACCUAAAUUUGUAAAGAGCCCCCGAGAUGGGAGAUAUUGUGAUGUAACCUCUUAAUAAAAUGAGGUUUUGGAGUUCCUGUUGUAGCUCAGCAGGUUACAAACCCACUAGUAUCCAUGAGGAUGCAGGUUCAAUCCCUGGCCUCACUCAGUGGGUUAAGGAUCCAGUGCUGCCAAAAGCUGUGGCAUUGGUCACGAAUGUGGUUCAGAUCUGAGCAUGGCUGUGGCUGUGGUUUAGCCCGGCAGCCGCAGCUCUGAUUUGACCCCUAGUCUGGGAAUUGACUAUGCCUGAGAUGCGGCCCUAAAAAGAAAAAAAAAAAAAAAAAAA
rnacentral:lncRNA from 1 species